UGGAAUCCAGGUGCCACUUGGUCAG
rnacentral:misc_RNA from 1 species